AGUGAACGCUGGCGGUAGGCCUAACACAUGCAAGUCGAACGGCAGCACAGUAAGAUCUUGCUCUUACGGGUGGCGAGUGGCGGACGGGUGAGGAAUACAUCGGAAUCUACUUUUUCGUGGGGGAUAACGUAGGGAAACUUACUCUAAUACCGCAUACGACCUACGGUUGAAAGCAGCGGAUCUUCGGACCUUUCGCGAUUGAAUGAGCCGCUGUCGGAUUAGCUAGUUGGCUGGGUAAAGACCCACCAAGGCGCCGAUCCGUAGCUGGUCUGAGAGGAUGAUCAGCGACACUGGAACUGAGACACGGUCCAGACUCCUACGGGAGGCAGCAGUGGGGAAUAUUGGACAAUGGGCGGAAGCCUGAUACAGUCAUACCGCGUGGGUGAAGAAGGCCUUCGGGUUGUAAAGCCCUUUUGUUGGGAAAGAAAAGCAGCAGGUUAAUACGCCGCUGUUCUGACGGUACCCAAAGAAUAAGCACCGGCUAACUUCGUG
rnacentral:rRNA from 1 species